UACAGAGGGUGCGAGCGUUAAUCGGAAUUACUGGGCGUAAAGCGCGCGUAGGCGGCUUUGCAAGUCGGGUGUGAAAUCCCCAGGCUUAACCUGGGAACUGCAUUCGAGACUGCAUUGCUAGAGUAUGGGAGAGGGAAGUGGAAUUUCAGGUGUAGCGGUGAAAUGCGUAGAUAUCUGAAGGAACACCGGUGGCGAAGGCGGCAUCCUGGACCGGCAUUGACGCUGAGGAGCGAAAGCCAGGGGAGCAAACGGG
rnacentral:rRNA from 1 species